rnacentral:piRNA from 1 species
UAUGGGCAGAUAUUUGCUUCAAGGCAC